rnacentral:rRNA from 1 species
GAUGAACGCUGGCGGCGUGCCUAAUACAUGCAAGUCGAGCGAACAGAUGAGGAGCUUGCUCCUCUGACGUUAGCGGCGGACGGGUGAGUAACACGUGGAUAACCUACCUAUAAGACUGGGAUAACUUCGGGAAACCGGAGCUAAUACCGGAUAAUAUAUUGAACCGCAUUGUUCAAUAGUGAAAGACGGUUUUGCUGUCACUUAUAGAUGGAUCCGCGCCGCAUUAGCUAGUUGGUAAGGUAACGGCUUACCAAGGCAACGAUGCGUAGCCGACCUGAGAGGGUGAUAGGCCGCACUGGAACUGAGACACGGUCCAGACUCCUACGGGAGGCAGCAGUAGGGAAUCUUCCGCAAUGGGCGAAAGCCUGACGGAGCAACGCCGCGUGAGUGAUGAAGGUCUUCGGAUCGUAAAACUCUGUUAUUAGGGAAGAACAAAUGUGUAAGUAACUAUGCACGUCUUGACGGUACCUAAUCAGAAAGCCACGGCUAACUACGUG